GAAAAGAAGCGAUAGCCUUGAAUUCAAAAGAAUUGCAAAACUUUGUUUAAUGUUUUGAAAAAGUUCUCUAGUCCACUAUAUUUCAAAAGGGGUUUGGUUUAUGAAAAUGUUCUUUGACUAAUAGGGGGAUCUAACUCCAAGUUUUUCUACUACUUAUCCCAAAAUGUCACCAUCCACCCUAGCCAAGCCACGUUAUAACCCUAAAAGACCUCUAAUGUGUGUGCACAAAGUGAACCGAAUGAAUUCUUAGACUACUUGCAAAA
rnacentral:lncRNA from 1 species